GUGCCUAAUACAUGCAAGUCGAACGAACUCUGGUAUUGAUUGGUGCUUGCAUCAUGAUUUACAUUUGAGUGAGUGGCGAACUGGUGAGUAACACGUGGGAAACCUGCCCAGAAGCGGGGGAUAACACCUGGAAACAGAUGCUAAUACCGCAUAACAACUUGGACCGCAUGGUCCGAGCUUGAAAGAUGGCUUCGGCUAUCACUUUUGGAUGGUCCCGCGGCGUAUUAGCUAGAUGGUGGGGUAACGGCUCACCAUGGCAAUGAUACGUAGCCGACCUGAGAGGGUAAUCGGCCACAUUGGGACUGAGACACGGCCCAAACUCCUACGGGAGGCAGCAGUAGGGAAUCUUCCACAAUGGACGAAAGUCUGAUGGAGCAACGCCGCGUGAGUGAAGAAGGGUUUCGGCUCGUAAAACUCUGUUGUUAAAGAAGAACAUAUCUGAGAGUAACUGUUCAGGUAUUGACGGUAUUUAACCAGAAAGCCACGGCUAACUACGUGCCAGCAGCCGCGGUAAUACGUAGGUGGCAAGCGUUGUCCGGAUUUAUUGGGCGUAAAGCGAGCGCAGGCGGUUUUUUAAGUCUGAUGUGAAAGCCUUCGGCUCAACCGAAGAAGUGCAUCGGAAACUGGGAAACUUGAGUGCAGAAGAGGACAGUGGAACUCCAUGUGUAGCGGUGAAAUGCGUAGAUAUAUGGAAGAACACCAGUGGCGAAGGCGGCUGUCUGGCUGUAACUGACGCUGAGGCUCGAAA
rnacentral:rRNA from 1 species